rnacentral:rRNA from 1 species
GAGUGCAGCCAUAUCACCCUGCAACUCACAACUGGCAACCCACUAAAGCUAAGCAGGUGUGAGCCUGGUCAGUACCUGGAUGGGGGACCUCCUGGGAAAAACUAAGGCUGCUGCUGGAA